UGCCUAAUACAUGCAAGUCGAGCGGACAGAUGGGAGCUUGCUCCCUGAUGUUAGCGGCGGACGGGUGAGUAACACGUGGGUAACCUGCCUGUAAGACUGGGAUAACUCCGGGAAACCGGGGCUAAUACCGGAUGGUUGUUUGAACCGCAUGGUUCAGACAUAAAAGGUGGCUUCGGCUACCACUUACAGAUGGACCCGCGGCGCAUUAGCUAGUUGGUGAGGUAAUGGCUCACCAAGGCAACGAUGCGUAGCCGACCUGAGAGGGUGAUCGGCCACACUGGGACUGAGACACGGCCCAGACUCCUACGGGAGGCAGCAGUAGGGAAUCUUCCGCAAUGGACGAAAGUCUGACGGAGCAACGCCGCGUGAGUGAUGAAGGUUUUCGGAUCGUAAAGCUCUGUUGUUAGGGAAGAACAAGUACCGUUCGAAUAGGGCGGUACCUUGACGGUACCUAACCAGAAAGCCACGGCUAACUACGUGCCAGCAGCCGCGGUAAUACGUAGGUGGCAAGCGUUGUCCGGAAUUAUUGGGCGUAAAGGGCUCGCAGGCGGUUUCUUAAGUCUGAUGUGAAAGCCCCCGGCUCAACCGGGGAGGGUCAUUGGAAACUGGGGAACUUGAGUGCAGAAGAGGAGAGUGGAAUUCCACGUGUAGCGGUGAAAUGCGUAGAGAUGUGGAGGAACACCAGUGGCGAAGGCGACUCUCUGCUCUGUAACUGACGCUGAGGAGCGAAAGCGUGGGGAGCGAACAGGAUUAGAUACCCUGGUAGUCCACGCCGUAAACGAUGAGUGCUAAGUGUUAGGGGGUUUCCGCCCCUUAGUGCUGCAGCUAACGCAUUAAGCACUCCGCCUGGGGAGUACGGUCGCAAGACUGAAACUCAAAGGAAUUGACGGGGGCCCGCACAAGCGGUGGAGCAUGUGGUUUAAUUGGAAGCAACGCGAAGACCCUUACCAGGUCUUGACAUCCUCUGACAAUCCUAGAGAUAGGACGUCCCCUUCGGGGGCAGAGUGACAGGUGGUGCAUGGUUGUCGUCAGCUCGUGUCGUGAGAUGUUGGGUUAAGUCCCGCAACGAGCGCAACCCUUGAUCUUAGUUGCCAGCAUUCAGUUGGGCACUCUAAGGUGACUGCCGGUGACAAACCGGAGGAAGGUGGGGAUGACGUCAAAUCAUCAUGCCCCUUAUGACCUGGGCUACACACGUGCUACAAUGGACAGAACAAAGGGCAGCGAAACCGCGAGGUUAAGCCAAUCCCACAAAUCUGUUCUCAGUUCGGAUCGCAGUCUGCAACUCGACUGCGUGAAGCUGGAAUCGCUAGUAAUCGCGGAUCAGCAUGCCGCGGUGAAUACGUUCCCGGGCCUUGUACACACCGCCCGUCACACCACGAGAGUUUGUAACACCCGAAGUCGGUGAGGUAACCUUUUAGGAGCCAGCCGCCGAA
rnacentral:rRNA from 1 species